rnacentral:rRNA from 1 species
ACCAACGUCCAUACCACGUUGAAUACGCCGGUUCUCGUCCGAUCACCGAAGUUAAGCAACAUCGGGCGCGGUCAGUACUUGGAUGGAUGACCGCCUGGGAACACCGCGUGACGUUGGCU